rnacentral:rRNA from 1 species
UACGAAGGGAGCGAGCGUUGUUCGGAAUCACUGGGCUUAAAGCGUGCGUAGGCGGAUAUGUAAGUAAGAAGUGAAAUCCCUGGGCUUAACCCAGGAACUGCUUUUUAGACUGCAUGUCUUGAAUUCGGUAGAGGUUAGUGGAAUAUCCAGUGUAGAGGUGAAAUUCGCAGAUAUUGGAUGGAACACCAGUGGCGAAGGCGACUAACUGG